GCAGCAGGCACGCAAAUUACCCACUCCCGGCACGGGGAGGUAGUGACAAAAAAUAACGAUACGGGACUCUAUUGAGGCCCCGUAAUCGGAAUGAGUACACUUUAAAUCCUUUAACAAGGAUCCAUUGGAGGGCAAGUCUGGUGCCAGCAGCCGCGGUAAUUCCAGCUCCAAUAGCGUAUAUUAAAGUUGUUGCGGUUAAAAAGCUCGUAGUUGGUUCUGCGUGCCACGCUGUCGGUUCGCCGCCUGUCGGUGUAACUGGCAUGUCGUGGCAUGUCCUGUCGGUGGUGAACGGGAUCCCUGGUUCGACGUAGGCUUAUUUAGCUGAAAUCUGUACCGUGUGUGAUCCCGUUUGCCGAUCUCUCCUACUCCGGUGCUCUUAAACGAGUGUCGAGGUAGGCCGACACGUUCACUUUGAACAAAUUAGAGUGCUUAAAGCAGGCUAAAAUAUCCGCCUGAAUAGUGGUGCAUGGAAUGAUAAAACAGGACCUCAGUUCUAUUUUGUUGGUUUUAGGAAUAUGAGGUAAUGAUCAAUGUGGACUGGCGGGGGCAUUCGUAUUGCGACGUUAGAGGUGAAAUUCUUGGAUCGUCGCAAGACGCACUAGAGCGAAAGCAUUUGCCAAGUAUGUCUUAAUUGAUCAAGAACGAAAGUUAGAGGUUCGAAGGCGAUCAGAUACCGCCCUAGUUCUAACCAUAAACGAUGCCAGCCAGCGAUCCGCCGAUGUUCCUUUAAUGACUCGGCGGGGAGCUUCUACUCGGGAAACCAAAGCUUUUGGGUUCCGGGGGAAGUAUGGUUGCAAAGCUGAAACUUAAAGGAAUUGACGGAAGGGCACCACCAGGAGUGGAGCCUGCGGCUUAAUUUGACCCAACACGGGAAACCUCACCAGGCCAGGACAUUGGAAGGAUUGACAGAUUGAUAGCUCUUUCUUGAUUCAGUG
rnacentral:rRNA from 1 species